GAUGAACGCUAGCGGUAGGCUUAACACAUGCAAGUCGAGGGGCAGCAUGGUCUUAGCUUGCUAAGGCUGAUGGCGACCGGCGCACGGGUGCGUAACGCGUAUGCAACUUGCCUCACAGAGGGGGAUAACCCGUCGAAAGACGGACUAAUACCGCGUACACUCUAUGUUGGGCAUCCAAUGUAGAGGAAAUGAAAUUCGCUGUGAGAUAGGCAUGCGUCCCAUUAGCUAGUUGGUGAGGUAACGGCUCACCAAGGCGACGAUGGGUAGGGGAACUGAGAGGCUGAACCCCAACACUGGUACUGAGACACGGACCAGACUCCGACGGGAGGCAGCAGUGAGGAAUAUUGGUGAAGGGGCGAGAGCCUGAACCAGCCAAGUCGCGUGAAGGAUGACUGUCUUAUGGAUUGUAAACUUCUUUUAUACGGGAAUAACAAGAGUCACGUGUGGCUCCCUGCAUGUACCGUAUGAAUAAGCAUCGGCUAACUCCGUG
rnacentral:rRNA from 1 species